GUGCUGGCUUCGGCAGCACAUAUACUAAAAUUGGAAUGAUACAGAGAAGAUUAGUAUGGCCCCUGCACAAGGAUGACAUGCAAAUUCAUGAAGUGUUCCAUAUUUUU
ensembl:snRNA U6 U6 spliceosomal RNA